rnacentral:sRNA from 1 species
UGAGUUGUCUGUUUAAAGUCUUCUGUUUAUCCACAGAAUAGAUACAGUACAGGAAUUUAUAGUACACACCCACCACAAAGCACUUGGCCAGUGUGAUUCAACCAGAGCCUGGAGAAAUGACUCCAGGUGUGAGAAGGUAGCUCAGUCUCCUUGACCUUUUUUCCUGAGUCUGCC